rnacentral:tRNA from 1 species
UAGGAUUUAGUAUAAUGGAAGUAUGAAGAGUUUUGAUCUCUUUGGUGUAGGUUCGAGUCCUAUUUUUCUAA